AAAAAAUGAUUUCGGUCAAAUAGGGCAGACAAACCAAGAACUGGUUUUUGUUUUGAGUGCUAGGCUGUGGGAAGUCGGACAAUGGCAGCGGGCCAUUCUUUUGCCACUCAGAUGAAAUCGGACUUGGUGCAGGUGGGCUUCACGAGGCCAAGUGAGCGGCGGUCGGUCAAAUUGAGACCGCAGGCAGAGGUGACGGAACUUGAGAUUCCAAUUGGUCUUCAAAGCAGGAAAGAAGAAGACCUUGUACUCAGUUUUUCAGAAACCAAUUGGACUACUGAACAUAAGAAGAUGUGACAUUAUAGGAAGAUGUGGAACUAUUAGCAGAGCUUGACAUGGAUGGCUAGAGAUUUUCGAUUUCAUGUCCAAGAAUAAUGUGAAGUAUACAAUGAAAACAAGUAAAAUGAUUCAUUUGCAGCAAAGAUCUGUUGUGCAAGAUAGACUCAGAAGGAAAGGCAAGAAAAGUCAUAUCGUGCUCGUGUGUUGUUGUUAAGGAUUAUGGAGAGGAUUCACACUAUUAUAAAUAUGAAUAUUAUAUAAUGUGAGAUAUAUGAAUUUAGAACUUACAGUGUUAUUUUGAUGGUACACAUUUUUAUUAUAUUAUUUAUCAUUUUGCAUAACAAGUGUAACAAACAAAAAAUUUAAAACCAUUGAUACCGGUCCCAAAUUUGGGUGAAAAAGAUUGAGAGUUGUUUUAGUAUUGAUAAUUUGUGCGCCACACCAAAAAAAAAAAAACUAGCUCCACCACUGGGUGGCCGGAAGGGAUCAAGAUGGAUUCAUCACCAGUGCGGCAUCAAAGUUUUCAAUGGAAAAAAGAUGACCAUGUAGUUGACAAGAAAGAGAGAGGAUACUCCUCUUCAUUCAGCUGUCAGGGUAGGGAAUCUAGCUUCUAUUAAGAAGAUGGUUUCAAGGAAAGCAAAAAAGGGUUGGUUGAUUUGUUGUUUAAGCAGAAUCGUCCAGGAUAAACACUAGAUGAUUCUUUUAUGGAUUAUGAUAAAUUUUGGAGCCGCUAUAGCAGAUCUUGUUGAAGAGGUUAGUUGGAUUCCUCUUUACAUUUGCUUAUUUUCUUUCAACUACUUAAACAGAUAUGCUUAUUAGGUUCCUUGAAUAUGAGAAUGAAAGUUGUGGUAUUGCCUAUUUAUGCAUGAGUUGGAUAAAGAUAAAUUAUAUGAUAACAUAUGAAAAUCUAAAUUUACCAAGGAAUCUCUUAAAAACUUCUAUUUCUCUUCAUAUAAUGAAGAACUUUGAUAUGUGUUACAUGCAUUGUCAUGGAAUAAGAUUUUUGCAUGGUUAAGAGAAAUUUGGCUUAAAGAGCACCAGUUAGCUUGAUUUUUCAUAUAAAGAUGCUUUCAAAACAAGGCAUUUAAAAGUGUAAGGUGUGUUUUUUUUUCUUUGGAAUAUUAUGAUGUUAUCCUUGAUGCUUUUGAGCUUUUAUGGCUCUUAGGCUAGGUUAUCUUUUUGUUGCCCUUUAAGAGCACUCUUUUUUAUUUCAGUAAAAAUUGAUUUGAUUGAAAUAUUCAUGUUUAAAUUCAAUUAAAUUGCUCUUAUUUUUUCGUUAUUAUUGUUGUUUCAUUGUUUGGACUUUGUUUUCACAUGUUUAUAAUUACUGUUGUCAUAGAGUAAUGGUAUUAUUUUGAAUUAUUUGUAGAGCUAUAUAGUCUUUUGCUAUUUUUAUGAUCCUUCAAUUAUAUCCAUUGUUGAGUAUAGCAUUCCACCUUUCAUAUCCUCAUUUCUCACCAUUUUGUUCUUUCGGUUUCAUUUUCCUAUGUUCAAUUCUCUCACUUUUGACAAAGAAGUUGGCGAUGAAGAUUAGAACCUACAACACAACUGUCCAUUCCCCCUUGGAUUCACACGAGAACCAACAACACCAUUAGGUAUUUCCUCAUUUGCAACCUUAAUUCUAAAGGUUCUUAGGUAAUUUGCUUCCCUAUUCAUCAUAAUUUUUUAUCCUGUUUGAUUCUUUUAUGGUACUCUCUCUUUUUUUUUUUAAUCUUCUUUUUAUUCUUCUAUGAUACUCUCGCAGGUGAUCACUGAUUUGGGUUAAGGAUAACCUCAUGAGAAAUAAGACAUAUCAAGGAAAACCAAAGUCAAAGUUAUUAUGCAUAUGUUCAUUAUGUCAAUAUUCUUUAAUUUGUAAUAUUUAAUUGGUAUGGAAUAAGUAUGAAUUAUCCUUUUCUAUUAGUUCUCAUUAAUGUGAUGUAUGAGAAGAUGUUACAUAAGAAAGAUGAUGCAUUCAAUACUCAAUUUUAUGUUGAUAAUACAGUGUAAAACUCAUAUGCUUGAAAUCCAAUGUGUUUAGCGAUGUGUAUUUUAUCCUUUUUUAA